GGGCCCAUAGCUCAGCCUGGUUAGAGCGACGGUCUUAUAAGCCGUAGGUCGAGGGUUCAAAGCCCUUUGGGCCCA
rnacentral:tRNA from 1 species